AUCUAACAUCAAAUUAAUUGUGCUGUUUCUUGAAUUCCAUUUCCACUGGGAAAGUUUCCAUCCCAAGAGGAUGUUGCUAGAUUUAUUGACAUUUACAAAGCUUUCUGUCAUCUAUGGGAAGAAAGGUCUGACUUCUAUCAACCAUUUCUACUUGAGGUGAGAAGAUUAUUUGUUGGACCACUAAAACCCCCAAAGACCGUGGCUAUGAAUUAUAUAUAAUGACAUACCAAAUCUCAAUUUCAUUAAACAAAUUUGUAUUGAACCCCUACUAAGAAUCAAGUAUUGAGACUAUAAGUGGUGAACAAAGCAUACAUCCUUAUUCUUAUGAAAC
rnacentral:lncRNA from 1 species